UACGUAGGGGGCAAGCGUUGUCCGGAAUCAUUGGGCGUAAAGAGCGCGUAGGCGGCCCUGUAAGUCCGCUGUGAAAGUCAAGGGCUCAACCCUUGAAUGCCGGUGGAUACUGCAGGGCUAGAGUCCGGAAGAGGCGAGUGGAAUUCCUGGUGUAGCGGUGAAAUGCGCAGAUAUCAGGAAGAACACCCGUGGCUAAGGCGGCUCUCUAGUACGGUACUGACGCUGAGACGCGAAAGCGUGGGGAGCGAACAGG
rnacentral:rRNA from 1 species